rnacentral:rRNA from 1 species
ACGCCUGCCAGUGAAAAUUAAACGGCCGCGGUAUCCUAACCGUGCAAAGGUAGCGUAAUCACUUGUCUUAUAAAUGAAGACCCGUAUGAAUGGCUAAAUGAAUAUUUAACUGUCUCCUUUAACUAAUCAGUGAAACUGAUCUUUCAGUACAAAAGCUGAAAUAAGUUAAUAAGACGAGAAGACCCCGUGGAGCUUUAAAUUAUAAACAAAGCAUAAUAAAAACAUGCCUAUGAUAAAAAUUUUUAGUUGGGGCGACUUUGGAGUAAAACUAAACCUCCAAAAACAAGGCACCGCCUAACUGAGGCUAACGGGCCAAACCAUAGAGACCCAGUAUAUUUACUGAUCAACGAACCAAGUUACCCCAGGGAUAACAGCGCCAUCUUCUUCAAGAGUUCCUAUCGACAAGAAGGUUUACGACCUCGAUGUUGGAUCAGGACACCCUAAUGGUGCAGCUGCUAUUAAGGGUUCGUUUGUUCAACGAUUAACAGUCCUACGUGAUCUGAGUUCAGAC